AUGGCUCUCACCGGCCGCGUCGCCACCACCGCAGCGUGCAUCCUCGUCCUCCUCGCGCUCGCCGACGCCGCGGGGGCGGCCACCCGGGCGCCGGCGCCCGCGCCGGCGCAGGACUGCACGGAGGCGUUGACUAGCCUCGCAGACUGCCUCGACUAUGUGUUGCCCGACAGCAAGUCGGCCCGGCCUACCAAGGCCUGCUGCACGGAGGUGAAGACCGCCGUCGGCACCCCCGCCACCGUGAAGUGCCUCUGCGCUGCCAUGGACGCCAAGACAACUCCGAUACCGAUCAACAUGACACGCGUGCUCGCCCUCCCCACCGCCUGCGGCCAAUCCGCCUCUGUCUUGAGCAAGUGCCACGGUG
rnacentral:rRNA from 1 species